rnacentral:lncRNA from 1 species
UUGUCUUUACAUUCCUAUUUCAUUUUGGAAUUCCAUUAUCCACUUUGUUUCUUUUUCUUAAUUCAAUUGAGCAUUAGAUUAUUUUGUCUUCUUUUUACAAAAUUUGUCUAAUUCUCUUUGCAAUUUUUCCUAUCCAUUUCCACUACCUUUUUCAUAUAAUUUCUAUCAUUUCCAUAACCUUCAAGCAUGAUUAAAUUCAUGCCACACUAAACCCCUUUCAGCUUUAAGCCGGUGUUAACCCCGUUAAAAAACCCGUGAGUUACAAACCCGAGCUGUUUAACUCCCAACUUUCGAUAUUUAUUAUUUCUCCGGAUUAAGAGUAUGACUUCGUCAACUCACAAAGUCAAGGCAACACUAAGUCAAAAAAGACGUCAUUUGAGUUAGUGUGGCUAGACGUACAGUUGGAAUUCCGAAUGGAUCGAUUGUCUAAUUGGUCUUCCUUGAACACAUUGGCAUGCCAAGUGGGGAUUGCUGUUUGGUUCCGUUAAGGGAAGUAGUAACCAGAUUUAAAUGUCUCAACGUUUGAGGGUAUUAGUUCGAGUUAGGCUCUUCUAGAACGCAAAACUGCCGGAGUUCUAAAUCACGAACGUUUCGUAGGUUGUUUGAUCGGUAAGGGUUAGUUAUAGGACGUUCCAUAACUAAUUUACACAAGGAAGAGUUGGUGUCCGAGGCGUCCUUGGUAGCUAUAACUAGCUUAUCGAAAAAGAAGAGUUCACCUAAUUUCGAGGAACGGGUCAAAGACGGGAAAACCCGUGCUUAAGGCUGAGCUAAGUUUUAUUGAUUUUCCUUUAAAUUAUUUUGUUAUUUAUUUUUAUUUCAUCUUUUUAUUUUUAUUUCAUCUUUUACCUUUUACUUUUUACGUUUUUUUGUGUUUAUUUCAGGUUUCAUAUUUUAUUUCCCCCUUAAACGUCGCGGGCAUGACAACUACCCAGACACUAAUCUGGUAAAGAAACAAACAAUUUUCAGUAAUUCCAGUCUCUGUGGGAUCGACCCUACUCCCUAUACUGCUUUAAUUUGCAAACUAGGUGUAGGUUUAUAUUGGUGGAAUCGACAACCAUCAAUUUUUAAAAGUUUAGUGAUUAAAUUGAAAGUUGAGUGAUUGUUGAUGUAAUUGACCCAUUGAAUAAUUAUGUUUACUGCUAUCCAUUUGGUAAUUAUAUCCUAUAGGGACAUGAGAACUCUUAUAAAGAAGAAUGGAAUUUCAUUUGCAUGACAAAAAAAAAAUAGAAAUGAAUUUUUUUUCUAUGCUCUCACCAUCUUUUAUAUUCAUAGAUUGUUCUAUAAAAUAUUACUGCAAAAAUUAUUUAUAGAAAUUGAUAUACUUGAUGUGCUCCACUC